rnacentral:rRNA from 1 species
AUGAUUUGUGUUAUUGCAUACACGCAUAAUGGCAUGAUUGUAUCGGGAAGCGGUGAGGUCUGCGGUGCAGUAAAAGGACUCUCGGCCUUACAGAAGCUUUGCCUUGAGUAUGCUCAUGGCCUCAAUGACAAUGACAUGAUUGCAUUAUCUCAGAGCUCCAGCAACCUUAAAAGCAUCACACUUUGGCUCAACCUGCAGCGCUACUCUAGUGAUGUCAGCUAUUGCGAGACCAGGACGUCAUUUACUGAUAACAGCCUUUACGCUCUAGCCCUCAACUGUCGUAUGCUUCAGAUGGUAGACCUCAGCUUUACAGGAUGUGAUGAUGGCUGGCCAUCAGAAAUAGGAUUCACACAAGAGGGUCUUCUGGUGCUCGUUCAGUCCUGCCCGAUUCGUGUUCUCGUGCUCAACAACGCCAACUUCUUUGAUGAUGAGGGGAUGAAGGCCCUCUCAUCCUCACCUCAUCUGGAGACACUCGAGCUUAUAUUGUGUCAUGCGGUAACUGAUGCCGGGAUGCGCUUCAUUGCUCACACCCCAUGCUUGAGUAGUCUCACACUUCGGAUGUGUCAUAAUGUUACUGAUGUUGGAGUGGUUGAACUGGAACAUACACAGAAGCUAAAGUCUUUGGUCAUUGAGUAUUGUGGUGAGGUCUCUCUGGAAGUUGCGCAGGGUGUUGCCAAGUCAGUUCACUACUCCAAGGACUGUUCAGAUGCCCUUAUGGAGACAGUUGGUCUUGGCGCCUAUUGA